UUAGAGUUUGAUUCUGGCUCAGGAUGAACGCUAGCGGCAGGCUUAACACAUGCAAGUCGAGGGGCAGCGAGAUCAGUGCUUGCACUGAUUGUCGGCGACCGGCGCACGGGUGCGUAACGCGUAUGCAACCUACCCAUUACAGGGGGAUAACACUGAGAAAUCGGUACUAAUACCCCAUAACAUCCAGGGAGGCAUCUUCUUGGGUUGAAAACUCCGGUGGUAAUGGAUGGGCAUGCGUUGUAUUAGUUAGUUGGUGGGGUAACGGCUCACCAAGACAACGAUACAUAGGGGGACUGAGAGGUUAACCCCCCACAUUGGUACUGAGACACGGACCAAACUCCUACGGGAGGCAGCAGUGAGGAAUAUUGGUCAAUGGACGCAAGUCUGAACCAGCCAUGCCGCGUGCAGGAAGACGGCUCUAUGAGUUGUAAACUGCUUUUGUACGAGGGUAAACGCAGAUACGCGUAUCUGUCUGAAAGUAUCGUACGAAUAAGGAUCGGCUAACUCCGUGCCAGCAGCCGCGGUAAUACGGAGGAUUCAAGCGUUAUCCGGAUUUAUUGGGUUUAAAGGGUGCGUAGGCGGUCGGAUAAGUUAGAGGUGAAAUCCCGGGGCUCAACUUCGGAAUUGCCUCUGAUACUGUUCGGCUAGAGAGUAGUUGCGGUAGGCGGAAUGUAUGGUGUAGCGGUGAAAUGCUUAGAGAUCAUGCAGAACACCGAUUGCGAAGGCAGCUUACCAAGCUACUUCUGACGUUGAGGCACGAAAGCGUGGGGAGCAAACAGGAUUAGAUACCCUGGUAGUCCACGCAGUAAACGAUGAUAACUCGUUGUCGGCGAUACAGUGUCGGUGACUAAGCGAAAGCGAUAAGUUAUCCACCUGGGGAGUACGUUCGCAAGAAUGAAACUCAAAGGAAUUGACGGGGGCCCGCACAAGCGGAGGAACAUGUGGUUUAAUUCGAUGAUACGCGAGGAACCUUACCCGGGCUUGAAAGUUAGUGACGGAUCUUGAAAGAGGUCUUCCCUUCGGGGCACGAAACUAGGUGCUGCAUGGUUGUCGUCAGCUCGUGCCGUGAGGUGUCGGGUUAAGUCCCAUAACGAGCGCAACCCCUACCGUUAGUUGCCAGCAGGUCAAGCUGGGCACUCUGACGGGACUGCCGGUGUAAGCCGAGAGGAAGGUGGGGAUGACGUCAAAUCAGCACGGCCCUUACGUCCGGGGCUACACACGUGUUACAAUGGCAGGUACAGAGGGCAGCUACCCAGCGAUGGGAUGCGAAUCUCGAAAGCCUGUCUCAGUUAGGAUUGGAGGCUGAAACCCGCCUCCAUGAAGUUGGAUUCGCUAGUAAUCGCGCAUCAGCCAUGGCGCGGUGAAAAGGUUCCUCGGGCCUUGUACUCACCGCCCGUCAA
rnacentral:rRNA from 1 species